rnacentral:rRNA from 1 species
GAACGCUGGCGGCGUGCUUAACACAUGCAAGUCGAACGAGAGGACAUGAAAAGCUUGCUUUUUAUGGAAUCGAGUGGCAAACGGGUGAGUAACGCGUAAGCAACCUGCCCUGCAGAUGGGGACAACAGCUGGAAACGGCUGCUAAUACCGAAUACGAAGCAGCUCCCGCAUGGGGACUGCUUGAAAGGAUGGCCUCUGAACAUGCUAUCGCUGCAGGAGGGGCUUGCGUCUGAUUAGCUGGUUGGAGGGGUAACGGCCCACCAAGGCGACGAUCAGUAGCCGGUCUGAGAGGAUGAACGGCCACAUUGGGACUGAGACACGGCCCAGACUCCUACGGGAGGCAGCAGUGGGGAAUCUUCCGCAAUGGACGAAAGUCUGACGGAGCAACGCCGCGUGAGUGAAGACGGCCUUCGGGUUGUAAAGCUCUGUUAUACGGGACGAACGGGCGAGAGGCUAAUACCCUCUAGUUGUGACGGUACCGUAAGAGAAAGCCACGGCUAACUACGUGCCAGCAGCCGCGGUAAUACGUAGGUGGCAAGCGUUGUCCGGAAUUAUUGGGCGUAAAGGGUGCGCAGGCGGUCUCUUAAGUCUGUCU